AAGAAGCCCAAUAUUUCAGAAUCUGAGAACUAGCUGGAUAAAAUAGUUGAAGCAGCAGAUGAUUUACUUACAGAAUCACUUUAUUGGCCUCAGCCAAACCUAUAACAACCUUACUCGGUUCUAUAAACACCCCUCCAAAAGGUGAGAGAAGUACUUUUCAUAUUGUACAAUACAUGAUGCUCGGGAUGUAUACAGAAAAGCAGUGAGAAUUUACACUCCGUCAACAAAGACAAAUAACCAGAAAAAUAAAGGGACAGUUGUAUAAAAUGAUGAGAGUCUCUAAAACCCCAAAGCACAUCAUGCUGUCUUGGCCUGUGAUUUCUUCCUUCCCAAAAGCAUCAAGAGCCUUGGGAAGAAGGACCUUUUCUUUUUCUUUGGGAUCUUCACUUCUGGAGAUGUAUCAAUUUCAGUAUUACUUGCUGGCUCAUAUGCUCUUGGACUUGACCUAUGAUGUAGUGAAGCAGCCUCUGGUGCACGCUCAUAGGUUUUUGAUGCUUUACUCUCCUCAAAGCUUGUUCUCGGGCUUCUGAUAGUGUUUAUCAGUGGAAGAGAUUCAGCAGCUUUCCUCCUUUGCCGAUGCUCAGCCCUCCAUUUCCUCAGCUCUUGCUCGACUGCCAAUUUCCCUUCCUUUGCUUUUUCUGCCUUCUUCAUUGCAAUUUCUAGAGCUUCCUUUUGAGUGGUCAUCUCACGAUUAACCUCCUCCAGCCUGCUUAGACUUCUCACUUCUGAUUCCUUGGAUACUUCAAUUUGGGUUAUAGCAGCAGCUAAGCUCUUAUUAGCUUGCUCCUCCGCCUCAUGGGCCAGUUUGCUGAGAUCAUAAUAUUCUUCAAGAGAGAGUGUUACUCCAGAUGGGGAAUCUUCAUUAUUGGUGCUUCGAGCUAAUUCACUCUCUUGCAGUGCAUUGAUGGCUUCUAGCGCCAACUUCUCAGAAGCUUUUGCAGCUUCUAUCUCCUUAUUAGCAGCAAUUAGUCUACUUCCCAUGGUACUUGCUCCUGCCUUUGCUUGCUCUGCUUCUUCCUUUGCCUUUCUCAACUCUUCACAAGCUGUUUGUGCAAGUGACUUUGCCCGAUCAGCCUCUUGGGCAGCAUCUUGCAAUUUCUUGGGAAGCUCCACCACCUUUUCUCUUACUUCUUUCUCUUUCAUCUGCACAAGGCCAAUCUCUGACUUGGUCUUGUUCAACUCAG
rnacentral:misc_RNA from 1 species